UCCUUUAUACAUUACCCGGCCUCAGACAGUUCUUGAUAGCAGUGUGAGAACAGACUAAUACAGUUGGCUCUGAGAAGUAGUGUGUGACAGUUGGGGUGCUGGGUGGCUCUAGCGUGUGCCAUUGUGCGUGCUGGGAAUGACGCAGUGAAUAAAGUCAGAUUUGUGCCCCCUGAGGAGCUCAUCUUCUAGUGGGAGAGCAGACAAGCAAGUGGACAGGAAAGCAGGAACGUGGCUGGUGGCAAGUGUUGGGAAGGCUAGAAACAGGAACGUAGUGCCCAGCAGGGCUUUCAGGCAGUAAGGAGGGCUUCUCUCAGGGUGCUGUCAAAGGCGAACCUUGAAGAGUAAGAGGGACCCAGAGGCCAGUGAAAGAAGCAGGGAGAAGUGGAAGCUGGAGUGAAGGCACUGGGGCUGGUGAGGACAUGGCCAGGACCCAAGGAAUGGGUGAGAGAAACAGGAGGUGAAGUUGGAAAAGCAGGCAGGAUCCAGGUUAUACACGUCCUGCCAAAAUGUCAUGCUCAGUAGUGUGGGUUUAUUCCAUGUCUGAGAUUAUGCUGAAGUCUGAUCAUGCCCAUGGGAUGGAAUACCGAGCAUCAGAGAUCUUGAGGGAGGGGAAUGACAGGCACAGGCCCCUGCAGAGAGGCUGCUGUGUACAGGGAAGGUGGAGGCCCACCCUCGUUUUAGGCAGGUCCAUCCCAGGCCCCGUCCUGUCCUGCCCUGGAGAUCUGUGCUCCCCUCAGGCUCCCAGGUGGCCAGGCUGGUCCUGGAAGAUGUUGCCUUUACCCUCAGGGCAGAAGGGUGAGGUACAGGGAGGCCCCUGGCUAUGCAUGUUUGUGUUUGUGUGUGCGCACACCUGAGAGGGGAGGGGGACCCACUGGGCUGUGAGAUUCGCUUGAUUUGCAGUUGUAAACGUGGAGGUGCAUGGUACGUGGCCCCGUGUGUAUUCUCAUCCUGCUCCCUGUAAUGCUGCAGUGGGCCUGGUAUCUAAGCCUGUGGUGGGAGAACUCCCUGGAGAAGGUGUUCCACCAGGGCGGAUCUAUUUCAGUGCUCUGUCAGUGACAGGAUUAGAGGUCUCCAAAGCCCUCCCCAGCAUGGGCCCUGGCUGCUGUUCCAUUCUGACCUGCUCCAUCUUCCAUCCAGGAUUGCGGCCUGUUAAGUUUCGGAUUUUUGCUGCUUUGUGAUUAGACCAAAGGCCCAAUGCUUCCACUUCGUUCCCCUAUCUACACCUCAUUUUCCUUCAGAGCCCAGCUCAGACAGCCUGUCUUUUGGAAUAGCCUCCCAGACUGCUGAGGCUGGAUGGGGCACACCUCCUUUGUCCAAGGCUCCAUGGCAUGCCGCCGAGCCUGUCAGAGCAGCCGUGGCACUGUGCUCACUAUGCCAUGGUCCUCUGCUUGCUCCCCUGCUUCCUGCUUGACUGGGCUCCUUGAGGGCAGAGAACCAGCCUUGUGUAUCCAUCGCCAGCUCCGAGACGGCAUCUGGUGCAUAUUAGGUAUUCACUAACCGCUUCUUGAUUAGAAGAAUCAAAGUUAAAAUUGUGGCCUCGAGAGCUGCAGGAGAGGAUGCCUUGGGAAGGGCAGUCUUCCCGGGAACACCUUGCCCCUCUCACUGAGCUAAGAGAAUAUUUGUAAAUUGAGGGCUUACACCAACUUCAGUAUGAAACCAAAUGUUGGCCUUAAUUGUUUCUGAAAUCUUCCAGUGGCUCCCCAGUGCCUACAGAUCUGUUUCUCAAUUCUGCUUCUCAUUAGAUUUGAAUGAUCUGAAGAUAUUAAAAAAAAAAAAUGCCCAGGCCCCAUGCCAGGCUGCCUGAAUCAUCUUCGGAGGUGGGGAUGGUUUACAGUCUCCCUGGACUGUGACAGUGUGACUGGGAAAUGCUGGCCUAUAACGUUAGAUCCCUCCCUCCUAAAGCCUUGUUUUCACAAAUUGGCUGAAUAUUGGAAUCACUGGGAGAGCUUAAGGAUUCAGCCCAUCUGGACAUGGCCUUUGCCCUAAGAUCUCUAAGAGUGCCCUGGGUCCGCCAUGUUGAGGCAGCUGGUACCAGGCCCACCCUCCUGCUGCUAACCACUAAAAAUUAUGGGGCGUGUGAAUUAGAUAAGAGUUGUCAGAUAAUAGACAAAACCCUUUCUCCCUAAUUCUCCCUCCCCUCAAAAACAAAACCUACCCAGCACAGCACUGUGGUCUCUGAGGUCAGAGAAGCCAGUACGGUGGUGCCCAUGGGUAGAGGUGGGUAGGGAUGUGGAAUGGCUAAGAAUGGCAGCUUUGCUCAGUGGCGGGGGCAGAGGCCAGCUUGCAGGAGGCCGAGGGGCUGAAAUCUGGGACAGAACACUAAAGAGAAAGGAACUCAGCAAAGAGAGAGUUCCAGAGUCCGCAUGGAGAUCACCUUGGGGCCAUUGCUGAAUCCUAAGCUGAACACAGGGAGAGUGAAACCCCUGCAGGCAGGCAGAGAACUCCAGGCAGUUGUGCACGGAAGAAUCCCAGAGCUUUGCAGCCAGGGGAGCCACCUCAAAGGACACCUGAGGCCUUCUGGAUGCCACAGAAGAACCCCUACUUAGUAGCAGGGCCAGCAGCAGCCUGGCCCCAGUGUGAAGGCCACUCUAGAUGUGCCUUAAAAGGACUGGAAAACAGGCAUCAGAAAGAACGAGCUGGUUCACAGGUAACUUAGCUGCCAAUCAAAAGGAGACCCAUCCUCUAAAGGAAGACAGUAACACUCAGACAUUCAACAACUGAAAACUCACAGUGCCCUACAAAAGUAGCAGGAAGAUAGGAACCAGAACUGGCGGGGUGCCAGGGGAGCCUGUCAGCUGGAGCAGACUCAGAAAUGAUAAGGAUGAUGGUGUGAGCAUACACGGACUUUGAGGUGAUGCUUAGAGUUAUGCUGAAGGAUUUAAGGAAACCAUAAAUAUAAUGAGGAAAGGACUGGAAGGAAAAGGUCAAAAUCCAACAUUUAGAGCUGAAAAUGUAGCUGUUGUAUCAAGAAUAGGUGCAGAAAUUUUAUUACUUAGUAACAAGAAAACAACACAAUUAGAAGUGUGCAAAAAUGUGAACAAACAUUUCACAAAGGAAAGGAAAUGAUUGGCCAAUGAGCAUGGGCAAAGAUGCUCAAUAUCACAGAUUUUCGGGGAAAUUCAAGUGAAAACCACUCCUGCACACACAUUGCACCCAGAAGACCAGGGGCAUGGGAUAGCUGGAAUGCACUUGUAGUGCUGGUGACAGUGUGCAAUGGUGUGGCUACUUUGUAGAACUGUUCAUCAGUUUCUUUGAAAGUUAAACAUAUAGGUCCUGUACAAUGAAGCAAACCCACUUCUAGGUACUUACCCAGAAGAAAUGAAAAUGCAUGCCUGUGUAAGACUUGUACUUUGAUGUGCAUUGCAACUUUAUUCAGAAUAGCUGCAAACUGGAAAUAACCCCUGUAGCCAACUAUAUAUAAAUCAAUAGUUAUAGUAUUAUGGACUGCCGCUGGCAACAAGGAGGAAGCCGCUGCUCCGCUUAAGAACGUGGAUGAAUUUCAACAAAGCAUGCUGGGUGAAAGACGCCAGACACAAAACGUACACGCUGUUAUGAUUCCAUGUAUAUGAAUUCUAGAAUAGGCAAGACUCGAUCAUGAUAGAAAGCAGAUAGAUCCCUGUUGUCCUGAGGAGGUGAGAGGGCUUUGAAUUGGUUGUAAAGGGGCAGGAGGAAGGUUUAGGGGCGGGUGGACUGGCUUUAUCUUUUCUCUGUGUGGAUUGUACUAGUAUACAUUUGUCAAAUUACAUUGAACUUGGUAGUUAAAUAUGUACUUUUUAUUAUAUGGAAAUCGUACUUCACUACCAAGGAUUUAAAAAUAACAACACAGAACCAGCCUCCCAGAAGUUUCUAGUACGCAGCAGGGUCUAAGAACCACUGCCGCAAAGGCCCUCCCAACUCAGUUCCUGCCUCGUUCUCCUUCAUGGCUGUUUCUGCUCUGGCCUGGGCCCAGGUGGAAUUGCAUGUGGCUCCCUGCACAAGGCACCCUGUGUUUGUUUUCUUUUCCAGACCUGUCCCCUUUGCCUAAAUGUCUGUCUUCCACGUUCUCUUCCCUCCCCACGGGCCUUCUUGGCGACCCUGGCUGUCCUGGCUGUUCUUAGUUCCUCUUCCUACUGUCUGUCUCUCAGGUUUCUGCCAGGACACCCCUGCCCAGCUUGUCUUUGCCUAUGAGGUUCCUUCUCCUCGUGUAUUGCAAGAACCUUGUGGGCCCAGGCCCUGCAUUUCCAUCUCUGUGUUCCUGGUGCACAGCUAGCCCAGGCCCAGAGGUCUCCAGUCAGCAAAAGAGGCUGAAGGAAUGAUAAUGAAUGAACAAAUGAAUCGUUGAGGACAGUUCAGAGAGCCAUGGGGCUAGAAGAGGUGAGGGCUGCGUUCUCAUACAGAGAAGACAAAUCAUUGGAGGGGAUUUCAAGGAGAUUUCGUCAGUGGAUUUCAAUUAUCCCUGAACCCCCUGGACAUUUGCAGGGAGGGCAUUUUGGAACUAGCUGUCAAAGUGACACCACAGUGUCUAUGACCUCCUCACCCACCCACCCCCAAGCACA